rnacentral:rRNA from 1 species
AUUGAACGCUGGCGGCAGGCCUAACACAUGCAAGUCGAGCGGCAGCGACAACAUUGAACCUUCGGGGGAUUUGUUGGGCGGCGAGCGGCGGACGGGUGAGUAAUGCCUGGGAAAUUGCCCUGAUGUGGGGGAUAACCAUUGGAAACGAUGGCUAAUACCGCAUGAUAGCUUCGGCUCAAAGAGGGGGACCUUCGGGCCUCUCGCGUCAGGAUAUGCCCAGGUGGGAUUAGCUAGUUGGUGAGGUAAGGGCUCACCAAGGCGACGAUCCCUAGCUGGUCUGAGAGGAUGAUCAGCCACACUGGAACUGAGACACGGUCCAGACUCCUACGGGAGGCAGCAGUGGGGAAUAUUGCACAAUGGGCGCAAGCCUGAUGCAGCCAUGCCGCGUGUAUGAAGAAGGCCUUCGGGUUGUAAAGUACUUUCAGCAGUGAGGAAGGAGGUAUCGUUAAUAGCGGU